rnacentral:rRNA from 1 species
CCUACGGGGGGCUGCAGUGAGGAAUAUUGGUCAAUGGGCGCGAGCCUGAACCAGCCAAGUCGCGUGAGGGAAGACGGUCCUAUGGAUUGUAAACCUCUUUUGUCGGGGAGCAAAAGACGCCACGCGUGGCGUUCCGAGAGUACCCGAAGAAAAAGCAUCGGCUAACUCCGUGCCAGCAGACGCGGUAAUACGGAGGAUGCGAGCGUUAUCCGGAUUUAUUGGGUUUAAAGGGUGCGCAGGCGGAAGAUAAAGUCAGCGGGAAAAUUGAGAGGCUCAACCUCUUCGAGCCGUUGAAACUGGUUUUCUUGAGUGAGCGAGAAGUAUGCGGAAUGCGUGGUGUAGCGGUGAAAUGCAUAGAUAUCACGCAGAACUCCGAUUGCGAAGGCAGCAUACCGGCGCUCAACUGACGCUCAUGCACGAAAGUGUGGGUAUCGAACAGGAUUAGAUACCCGGGUAGUC